rnacentral:rRNA from 1 species
GGAGUUAGCCGGUGCUUCUUCUGCGAGUAACGUCACAGAUGUAAGGUAUUAACUUACACCCUUUCCUCCUCGCUGAAAGUGCUUUACAACCCGAAGGCCUUCUUCACACACGCGGCAUGGCUGCAUCAGGGUUUCCCCCAUUGUGCAAUAUUCCCCACUGCUGCCUCCCGUAGGAGUCUGGGCCGUGUCUCAGUCCCAGUGUGGCUGAUCAUCCUCUCAGACCAGCUAGGGAUCGUCGCCUAGGUGAGCCUUUACCUCACCUACUAGCUAAUCCCACCUGGGCUUAUCCAUCAGCGCAAGGCCCGAAGGUCCCCUGCUUUCCCCCGUAGGGCGUAUGCGGUAUUAGCAGUCGUUUCCAACUGUUAUCCCCCACAAUGGGCAAAUUCCCAGGCAUUACUCACCCGUCCGCCGCUCGUCAUCUUCAAAGCAAGCUUUUAGAAUGUUACCGCUCGACUUGCAUGUGUUAGGCCUGCCGCCAGCGUUCAAUCUGAGCCAUGAUCAAACUCUGA